AGAGUUUGAUCAUGGCUCAGAACGAACGCUGGCGGCGUGGAUAAGACAUGCAAGUCGAGCGCUGAUUUCAAGGUAGCAAUAUUUUGAAGUCGGAGCGGCGCAAGGGUGCGUAACACGUGGGUAAUCUGCCAUGAAGUUUGGGAUAACUCGCUGAAAGGCGAGCUAAUACCGGAUGUGAAAAUUGGAAGGCAUCUUUUGAUUUUCAAAGCUGGGGACCGUAAGGCCUGGCGCUUCUUGAUGAGCCCGCGGCCUAUCAGCUAGUUGGUGAGGUAACGGCUCACCAAGGCUAAGACGGGUAGCUGGUCUGAGAGGACGACCAGCCACACUGGAACUGAGACACGGUCCAGACACCUACGGGUGGCAGCAGUCGAGAAUUUUUCACAAUGGGCGCAAGCCUGAUGGAGCGACGCCGCGUGGGGGAUGAAUGGCUUCGGCCCGUAAACCCCUGUCAUUUGCGAUCAAACCUUAUUAUUUAAAAGAUGAUGAGCUGAUAGUAGCGAAAGAGGAAGGGACGGCUAACUCUGUGCCAGCAGCCGCGGUAAUACAGAGGUCCCGAGCGUUGUUCGGAUUCACUGGGCGUAAAGGGUGCGUAGGUGGUGAAGUAAGUCGGAUGUGAAAUCUCGGAGCUUAACUCCGAAACUGCAUUGGAAACUACUUUGCUCGAGGGUUGGAGGGGGGACUGGAAUUCUCGGUGUAGCAGUGAAAUGCGUAGAUAUCGAGAGGAACACCAGUGGCGAAGGCGAGUCCCUGGACAACUCCUGACACUGAGGCACGAAAGCUAGGGGAGCAAACAGGAUUAGAUACCCUAGUAGUCC
rnacentral:rRNA from 1 species